CCUACGGGAGGCAGCAGUAGGGAAUCUUCCACAAUGGGCGAAAGCCUGAUGGAGCAACGCCGCGUGGGUGAAGAAGGUCUUCGGAUCGUAAAACCCUGUUGUUAGAGAAGAAAGUGCGUGAGAGUAACUGUUCACGUUUCGACGGUAUCUAACCAGAAAGCCACGGCUAACUACGUGCCAGCAGCCGCGGUAAUACGUAGGUGGCAAGCGUUAUCCGGAUUGAUUGGGCGUAAAGGGAACGCAGGCGGACUUUUAAGUCUGAUGUGAAAGCCUUCGGCUUAACCGGAGUAGUGCAUUGGAAACUGGGAGACUUGAGUGCAGAAGAGGAGAGUGGAACUCCAUGUGUAGCGGUGAAAUGCGUAGAUAUAUGGAAGAACACCAGUGGCGAAAGCGGCUCUCUGGUCUGUAACUGACGCUGAGGUUUGAAAGCGUGGGUAGCAAACAGGAUUAGAUACCCGAGUAGUC
rnacentral:rRNA from 1 species